rnacentral:lncRNA from 1 species
GUGAGAUGUACCCGAUGUGCAUCCUUAUAUGCAAACAAUCAGAGAUAAUAGUAAUGUUCAACUAUUAUGGCACGUUGCAGAGAAAAAAAUAUAAAGGGUAAGCUUACCUAUUUCGUGAAUUACAAGAGGAUUGCAUAUCUCUUCUCCCUUUUACAUAUUUUCACGGGCUGCAGUUGCACAAAGUUGAUGGCUAGCAGCUGUUAGAGAAGUAGGCAAGAGCUUUAAAUGUGUACACUAAAGCUAUAGUUACAGAAAAAUAGAGCGCAAGAGCACAGAAUAUUAUCAAUGUUUUAUUGAUACACACAUGUAAGACAACUAAGGUGUCAAACACAUUCUACCUAGGAAAAAGAAAGACUCCUUUAUCAAUAUAUAUGGUACAAUGAGUACAACAUUAUAACCUUUUUCAAGAAGAGCAUGAGGUUCUCGUAGGGUAAGCACAGUUCGUUUUGGGAAUCCUACUUUGUAUAAUGAUGAUGUUGCCUGCUCCGAGACAGCAACAGUUGCAUUUUCAGCAAGGUUAUGUUUUGCAGUGUCUUGUUUUCUCAUACGUAAGUUGCAUUGCAGCCUUCCUUUUUUCUCCAUGUAGACAGUUAUUCGUUUUUUUCGAAUCCAUCAGUUAUGCAAGUUUAAGUUCCUUUUAUACCUAUAGAUAUUUGCAGUAACAGUACUUCAUGAAAUGUUUGGAAAACACAUAUUAUAUUUUAUGAUUAAAAAAGAGACAAAAGAUACAAAUGUAAUUUCAUGAGCAAGAUUAAAUGUUAACAUUUAUCAUGAGUACCCUAUUAUAAAAAUUUUAACAAACAAUUUCACAGGUAAUGGCUAUCAACAGUUGUAGUAGAUAAAAUCAUAGAAAAAACGUGCUUAAACUUGUAUCAUUAUAAGCAUGUCUCUUGUUGAGGAGAAUGUCUAAAGACUCAUUCAGCCAAAAAGGGAAUUUCUAGAACAAAGCUGGGAAUUAUCUCAUGGGUACAAUUUUAACAAUGUGGUUAUACCCGAAAAAAUUGUCCCGGCCAAGAAUCCGUGGUUAUCCUAUUUUCCUCUGCCCAGUAAUUGGUUGGAAUACUCCAUCUUUCGCUUGUUCAAGUCAACACUAAUUGCCAAAUGAAAACAAUGGUAUUAUCCAAAAUAACUUUAGAGUUAGCAAACAGUUUCACCGAAUACUUAGAGAAAUAUUAGUCGUGCUUAAUCACUUGCUUAUCCCCAUUGUUACCUCUGUUAUCCCGAUCCAUAAAAUCGUAAAAUAAAUAAAAAAUUUACCAUCGUAUAUCCUGAAGGGAAAACUGAAAGGAACACAGAAUAAACUGAACUCACUCAGAAGUGGUCAGCUGGAAAUAUGGCAACAACAAGAAAAACCAAGAGCCAAAGUAUAAACAAAGAGGCGAGAGAAAGUGUAAGCCGAAUGAAGAUUCUACACGAGGAAUCGUGAAAUUUUGUGUUUGCCCACCGUUUAGCAAAAAGGAAAUAUAAUGUGGCCUAUUCUCAGACUAUCAGGCAUGUGAAACAGCAGACAGAGAAAUUUGGUAAAGUUGAUGAUAGC